rnacentral:snRNA from 1 species
AGCUUUGUGCAGUGGCAGUAUCGUAGCCAAUGAGGUUUAUCCGAGGCGCGAUUAUUGCUAAUUGAAAAACUAAUGAUUCAAAAUUUAUACUGCCUGUAUAACAAUUUCAGACAAUUAAAGGUGUUUGUUGAUUCAA